rnacentral:rRNA from 1 species
CCUACGGGUGGCAGCAGUGGGGAAUAUUGCACAAUGGGGGAAACCCUGAUGCAGCGACGCCACGUGAGUGAAGAAGUAAUUCGUUACGUAAAGCUCUAUCAGCAGGGAAGAAAAUGACGGUACCUGAGUAAGAAGCCCCGGCUAACUACGUGCCAGCAGCCGCGGUAAUACGUAGGGGGCAAGCGUUAUCCGGAUUGACUGGGUGUAAAGGGAGCGUAGACGGUGCGCCAAGUCUGGAGUGAAAUGCCGCAGCUUAACUGCGGAACUGCUUUGGAAACUGGCGAACUAGAGUGCGGGAGGGGGAAGCGGAAGUGCUAGGGUAGGGGUGAAAUGCGGAGAUAUUAGGAGGAACACCGGUGGCGAAGGCGGAUUACUGGACCGUAACUGACGUUGAGGCUCGAAAGCGUGGGGAGCAAACAGGAUUAGAUACCCCAGUAGUC